AAACCCAUGGUAGAACCCUUCGUUGCAAAAUCCAACUAGUGGAUGUCAAGAUCCAAGCACCAAGGAAGAGCUUCUUAAAUAUCAACUCAAUCGGGAUUGAAUUGACCGUCUGAUCGAGCCAAAAAUGGAUUGUUUGCAAAACCCUUUAAAGAAAGGAUUACUUCCUGUCCCUGUCUUUUCUCUUCUAUUCUUGUUUUCGUGCCCC
rnacentral:lncRNA from 1 species